rnacentral:rRNA from 1 species
UACGGGGGGGGCAAGCGUUGUUCGGAAUUACUGGGCGUAAAGGGCGCGUAGGCGGUUUGCUAAGUUGGAUGUGAAAACUCUGGGCUUAACCCAGAGCCUGCAUCCAAAACUGGCAAACUUGAGUACUGGAGGGGAAAGCGGAAUUCCUGGUGUAGCGGUGAAAUGCGUAGAUAUCAUGAGGAAGACCAGUGGCGAAGGCGGGUCUCUGGACAGUUCCUGACACUGAGGCACGAAGGCCCGGGGGAGC